CCCGAGAGGAGAUGGAUUGGUUUCCCGCUCAUGGCUCGGCUCUCGAUCGAUAUGGUCAGCGAGACCCUCGCUCGCAGCCACGGCCGCUGCCGUCGCGUCGGCACUUGCGGCAGCCGAGCGCCGCCCAAGGAAAGCAGGGGAACUGCAUGCGGCCGAAGUUGGCGGCGUUCUGCUGUACAAGCCGAAGGAUGAACGAACUAGCAGGAGAGUACGCACAUCAAGUUCAGAUUCAGAGGCACGGAGACCGGGGAACUCUUCUGGUACGUAGAUAGUAGCCGUGCCCGAUCGAUCUGGGCUGCAAAACAAGUACAGUGUUGUUCCAGGCCGCGAGGCACGAGACGUUUAGAGCCCACAAGGCCAUAACUCACAAGUCACGCAC
rnacentral:lncRNA from 1 species